GUGGAUCGUUUCGGCUUUUGUUUGGUUGCUUGGUGUUUGUGCCAGGCGGGCAGGCAUUUGUUGGGCGUUCUUCGGGGAUGUCUACUGUAAAGGUGCAUGAGUGGUGUUUGGUUUGUUACGGGUGGUUGGAUGUCUGUUUGCACAGCAACUUCCACGCGUUCAUACCUCUUCAGUUGUGCUACAAGGCUUCUCUAGCCUUGUGAAUUACGUGGGUUUCUGUGUUGCAUACCUCAUUUAGGGCAUCGUGUGGGUAGAUCUAUGUUUAUUUUCGUAAUGCGUCGCUUGCGGCGUUAAACGAACCUCGAAGCGGUCUUCAUGGUCCAUGCACUUGUUGCUUAUGCAACGAUGUCAUGGCCCAUGGAGCGUCGCUUGGUCUCUUGGAUAUAGAACCUGAUAUGGGCCGUAGGAUCUUUACCGAUCCUAUAUUUGCCCUUGUUUAGCGUUCUCGCAUCUCUAAACGUCCGCCUGUCAUGCGUCGGCAUGUUCGUGCAUGGUGGGCUGUGUCGAAAAGGAAUGC
rnacentral:misc_RNA from 1 species